GCCGCUUGGAUGGUUCCGGUGUGGGCUCAUUUCCCAUAACUAUAAAGUUCGAUUCUUUAAAGUGGCU
rnacentral:tRNA from 14 species